GAUGAAGAACGCAGCGAAAUGCGAUAAGUAGUGUGAAUUGCAGAAGUACUGUGAAUCAUCGAAUCUUUGAACGCAAAUUGCACUCUCUGGUAUUCCGGGGAGUAUGCCUGUUUGAGGGUCGCUUAACAAACCAUCGAUUUCGUUGCUUUUUUUUUAAAAAGUGAUGUUUAUCGGAUUUGAGCCGUCUUUUUUUUUUAUAUUUAAGUGGCUUAAAAUUGAUUUUUUUGGUACGAUCGAAGCGUAUUUUUAUGAUCAAUUUUUGGUUAAAGAAACGCACACGUACCGUUAUUUAUAUGAUGUAAUACGUUUGACUAUUGGAUUUAGUUCAUUCGUAUACGAUAUUUUUCAAUAUUUGACCUCAAAUCAGGUAAGAACACCCGCUGAACUUAAGCAUAUCAAUAAGCGGAGGA
rnacentral:misc_RNA from 1 species